rnacentral:lncRNA from 1 species
AGGAGGACCGAUGACUACUCAGGAAAGAACAUGUUUCAUUUAGUAACUUUUAUUUAAAAAUAGAGAACAACAAAAUAACCAACCAGAUCCAAUAAUAGUGAUUAUAACUGUAGGCCAGAUUGCAGACUGCUCCGCUGGGGGACGCGAUAAAUGGCCGGCGCCCUGUCAUCUGUAACCAGCGCGGACGGGAGCGGGUCCGACUGACGUCAAUACCCCCUGAUAGCCAAUUAUCGGUAAUAAUGACGUAG